rnacentral:rRNA from 1 species
UACGGAGGGGACUAGCGUUGUUCGGAAUUACUGGGCGUAAAGCGCACGUAGGCGGUUUUGUAAGUCAGGGGUGAAAUCCCGGGGCUCAACCUCGGAACUGCCUUUGAUACUGCAAAUCUCGAGUCCGGAAGAGGUGAGUGGAAUUCCUAGUGUAGAGGUGAAAUUCGUAGAUAUUAGGAAGAACACCGGUGGCGAAGGCGGCUCACUGGGCCGGUACUGACGCUGAGGUGCGAAAGCGUGGGGAGCAAACAGG